UUUUCUGUUUAGAUGUAUGCGGUAGUUCAUUUUACCGAGUCAAACGAGGUGGAGGUUGUGCCUUGCUCGUGGCUAAGUUUGGACGGCAAGGUGUCUUUUUGGCCACCGUAUAAAGACACCAAGCGGACGAAAAUUGCAGUCAUCCAAAGCGCUAUGCCAGAUGAGACCUGGGGAGAGUUUUUUGUGGAGGUGGUGAAAACCUUUGCCAAUUAUGAUGCAGCGCGUAUGAACCUGAAAAAAGCCCAAACCAGGAGCACCCUGACAUCAGAUGAUGAAGGGGGUAAAAGAAGGAGAAUCCCUUCCUCAAAGCUGAAAGAAACUGUGCCUGCAGAUGAGGGGGAGAAGCAUACAAGGUCU